rnacentral:antisense_RNA from 1 species
AGUGCUAUAGGAUUUUUUAUUAUCAACCAGAUCAUAGAUGAUGCAAAGCUAAGGAAUAUAAAUAUAGAAAAGGUAAUAGAGCUGGGGCAAUUGGAUAAGAUUGUUGAAGCAUAUGAAUUUAAAGUGAGAAUUGGUACACCCGAGUGGACUCGAACCACCGACCCCUACCA